CCCCUAGAUGUUCUGGGCCGCACGCGCGCUACACUGAACAGUUCAACAAGUCUUAACCUUGGCCGAUAGGUCUGGGUAAUCUUUGAACGCUGUUCGUGAUUGGGAUAGACCUUUGCAAUUAUGGGUCUUCAACGAGGAAUUCCUAGUAAACGCAAGUCAUCAGCUUGCAUUGAUUACGUCCCUGCCCUUUGUACACACCGCCCGUCGCACCUACCGAUUGAAUGGUCCGGUGAAAACCUCGGAUUCCUGUUUAUUUCUAGCAAUAGAGAUUUACGGGGAGAAGUCGUUUAAACCUUACCAUUUAGAGGAAGGUGAAGUCGUAACA
rnacentral:rRNA from 1 species